rnacentral:rRNA from 1 species
UACAGAGGUCCCAAGCGUUGUUCGGAUUCAUUGGGCGUAAAGGGUGCGUAGGCGGCGCGGUAAGUCGGGUGUGAAAUCUCGGGGCUUAACUCCGAAACUGCAUUCGAUACUGCCGUGCUUGAGGACUGGAGAGGAGACUGGAAUUUACGGUGUAGCGGUGAAAUGCGUAGAUAUCGUAAGGAAGGCCAGUGGCGAAGGCGGGUCUCUGGACAGUUCCUGACGCUGAGGCACGAAGGCCAGGGGAGCAAACGGG